UUUUCCUUCGGGAAAAGAGUACAGUGGCGCACGGGUGAGUAAGACUUAGGUAACAUGCCCUUUCGCUGGGGAUAACAAGGGGAAACUCUUGCUAAUACCGAAUGACCCUUAAGAAACUGCGGUUUCAUAAGGGAAAGCUUUUAGCGCGAAAGGAGUGGCCUGAGUACCAUUAGCUUGUUGGUGGGGUAAAAGCCUACCAAGGCGACGAUGGUUAGCUGGUCUGAGAGGAUGAUCAGCCACACUGGUACUGGAACACGGACCAGACUCCUACGGGAGGCAGCAGUUAGGAAUAUUGCGCAAUGGGGGAAACCCUGACGCAGCAACGCCGCGUGAGUGAGGAAGGCCUUCGGGUUGUAAAGCUCUUUUAGCAGGGAAGAAAAAAAUGACGGUACCUGCAGAAAAAGCACCGGCUAACUCCGUGCCAGCAGCCGCGGUAAUACGGAGGGUGCAAGCGUUAUUCGGAAUCACUGGGCGUAAAGCGCGCGUAGGUGGUUUAGUAAGUCUGAUGUGAAAGCCCACGACUCAAUCGUGGAAGUGCAUUGGAUACUGCUAGACUAGAGUAUAGGAGAGGAGAACGGAAUUCCUGGUGUAGAGGUGAAAUUCGUAGAUAUCAGGAGGAACAACGGAGGCGAAGGCGGUUCUCUGGACUA
rnacentral:rRNA from 1 species